rnacentral:lncRNA from 1 species
AGACCAUCCUUAUUUGUGUCGAGCCGAGCAAACCGAUUUCCUACCGAGCUAUUAAAUGCUUCUUCAUCUUCAAGGAAAUGGACAAUUGUGGCACCAUCCAAAAUUUCUACACUCAUCUUUCACUUCUACUUGAUGUCAAAAAUGGAAGGUAGUUUGUAUUGACAAAUAUAGUUUUGUGUUUGCAAAUGCUUGUGAUUUGAUGAGAAGAGUUGGAUCCUUCCAUGUAUAUAUAACCAUUAACAAUUGUUUCCAGAAGAAUAUAUUCUUUAACUACUAACAUGGUAUAGAAACCAUGUGCUUUUUGUGUACCUUGCAUCUAUUAUUUUAUUUUAUAGUCCAACCGUUAAAAUUGGAUGCUUUCUUCAACUGUUGGCUCCUGAUUGUUGAAAUUGUUCCGUGUCGGUAAUCCACGGAUAUACCAAAGAUAUGAUGAUAUGAAUACAUUAUUUAUAACACUUACGUUUUAUCUAUGUCGUAAACUUAAGUCAGUUGGUAGAGACAUUGCGUAAUAUAUGUAUGAGCCAUAUUUCAAACUCUGAAUAUUUCAUUUAUUCAUCUGAAAAAGUUGAAUUUCUAGUCAUUAGAUUAUCUGACAAAAAAAACAAAAACUUAUGUUCUAUCUUAUAUUGGCAAAAAAAUUAAUCUCAUAACCUAGUAUUCAGUUCAAAUUCACUCGAGAAGUAUUGUAAAAUGAUAAUUAGCGUUACUUUAAUUAAUAAAAUAUUUUCUUCUCAAUUUCUAUUAAAAUAUAUUAUUUGCAUAACAAUGAAACUUCAGGUCGUGAAGUCAGCGUUGGAAGACUAAUGCCCUCGUUUUAGUGUAUGCCAAUUUCAAACGAGUAAAGUAGGUUGGAAAUAAUUUAUUGGACGUGGUGUUUUGUUGAAUGUCUUAAACAAUGGGUACCCAUUGAUUAUUUUAAUAUUAUUCAAAGAACUAAAAUUAUUAUGCUUUACAAAGGAUCUUCUUGGUUUAUUCUUCUUAUUUUUCUUUUCUUGUCGGAACAUUUUGCCUAGGGGUGGCAAUAUGAUCCAUGAGAUCCAUAUCCAUCCAAUUUAUCCAUCAAAAUUUUUUUUUGUUAAAGGAUUGGAUUUGAUCCAUCCAUUAAACACUAUGGAUGAAUUUGAUCCAUCCACCUUAAUUUAAAAAUCCAAUGGAUCACCUCUUUAAAUUAAAAAAGUUUAAUAGAUAACUUCAAAAAAUAUUAAUCUUUUUUAUUUAAAUAAUUAUAUUUUUGAUUAUCACCUUUUUUUUAACUAAACAAUUAUUUUUAAUAAUUAAAUCAUCUCUCUCCCACUUUUUUUAAUUUCAAAAACAGCUUAUUCAUGAAAAACAGUUUAUUUAUGCAAAACAACUUAUUACGAUCUCAUUUUCAAAAACAGCUUAUUCAAAACAAUUUAUUUAUGCAAAACAACUUAUUACGAUCUCAUUUUCAAAAACAGCUUAUUUAUGCAAAACAACUUAUUAAUAUCUCAUUUUCAAAAACAGCUUAUUCAAAACAACUUAAUUAUGCAAUACAGCUUAUUAUGAUCUCAUUUUCAAAAACAGCUUAUUCAAAACAGCUUAUUUAUGCAAAACAGCUUAUUACGAUCUCAUUUUCAAAAACAGCUUAUUCAAAACAACUUAUUUAUGCAAAACAACUUAUUACGAUCUCAUUUUCAAAAACAGCUUAUUUAUGCAAAACAACUUAUUAAUAUCUCAUUUUCAAAAACAACUUAUUCAAAACAACUUAAUUAUGCAAAACAGCUUAUUAUGAUCUCAUUUUCAAAAACAGCUUAUUCAAAACAGCUUAUUUAUGCAAAACAGCUUAUUACGAUCUCAUUUUCAAAAACAGCUUAUUCAAAACAACUUAUUUAUGCAAAACAGCUUAUUACGAUCUCAUUUUCAAAAACAGCUUAUUCAAAACAACUUAUUUAUGCAAAACAGCUUAUUACGAUCUCAUUUUCAAAAACAGCUUAUUCAAAACAACUUAUUUAUGCAAAACAGCUUAUUACGAUCUCAUUUUCAAAAACAGCUUAUUCAAAACAGCUUAUUUAUGCAAAACAGCUUAUUACGAUCUCAUUUUCAAAAACAGCUUAUUCAAAACAACUUAUUUAUGCAAAACAGCUUAUUACGAUCUCAUUUUCAAAAACAGCUUAUUCAAAACAACUUAUUUAUGCAAAACAGCUUAUUACGAUCUCAUUUUCAAAAACAGCUUAUUCAAAACAACUUAUUUAUGCAAAACAGCUUAUUACGAUCUCAUUUUCAAAAACAGCUUAUUCAAAACAACUUAUUUAUGCAAAACAGCUUAUUACGAUCUCAUUUUCAAAAACAGCUUAUUCAAAACAACUUAUUUAUGCAAAACAGCUUAUUACGAUCUCAUUUUCAAAACCACUUAUUUAUGAAAAAUAGCUUAUUACGAUCUCAUUUUUAUAAACAGCUUAUUCGAAACAUCGUAUAAUAAGUCGUUUUGCAUAAUUAAGUUGUUUUGAAUAAUCUGUUUUUGAAAAUGAGAUCAUAAUAAGCUAUUUUGCAUAAUUAAGCUGUUUUGAAUAAGCUGUUUUUGAAAAUGAGAUCAUAAUAAGCUAUUUUGCAGAAAUAAGUUGUUUCUGAAAAAGAGAUCGAAAUAAGCUGUUUUGCAUAAAUAAGCUGUUUUUGAAAAUGAGAUCAUAAUAAGCUAUUUUACAUAAUUAAGUUGUUUUGAACAAGUUGUUUCUGAAAAUGAGAUCGAAAUAAGUUGUUUUGCAUAAAUAAGAUGUUUUGAAUAAGCUGUUUUUGAAAAUGAGAUCAUAAUAAGCUGUUUUGCAUAAAUAAACUAUUUCUGAAAAUGAGAUCGAAAUAAGCUGUUUUGCAUAAAUAAGAUGUUUUGAAUCAGUUGUUUUUGAAAAUGAGAUCAUAAUAAGUUGUUUUGCUUAAAUGAGUUGUUUUGAAUAAGCUGUUUUUGAAAAUGAGAUCAUAAUAAGUUCUUUUGCAUAAAUAAGUUGUUUUUCAUAAAUAAGUUGUCUUUCAAAAGAGAUCCUAAUAAGUUGUUUUUAUAUAAAUAAGCUGUUUUUUUAAAAAGAGACCGUAAUAAGUUAUUUUGUAUAAGAUAAUUUUUUUUGAUAAUACACCUAUCAAAAAAAUUAAUACAAAUUUAAAAAAAAUAAUACAUCUAUAAAAAAAAUAUACACUUUGAUUUAUGGAUCGGGUGGAUUAUCCAUCCAUUAAAAUCUAAUAAUGGAUGGAUUGGAUGGACUUUAUUCUAAUUGGAUGGACUGGAUGGUUUUUUUUAAGAAAAAAGAAUAGUGGAUUGUAAUGGACUAAUGAACCUUUUUUGAUCCAUCCAUUAGGAUCCAAAUCCAUAUCCAUCCAAUCCAUCCAUUUUGCCACCCCUAAUUUUGCCCCGUGAUUAGUAGUAAAUGACGAUAAUAUAAAAUAUGCUUUUGAAAGAAACCAAACAAUAAUAACCAUUCAAAUCUUAUUCUACUAAGUAGCGUUUUUUUAGUUUUUUGUUGAAGGCAUCCUACUAUGUAGCCUUAGUGAUCAAAUGACCUGUCCCCGUGAGUUUAGCUCAGUUGAUAAGGACAAUGCAUAAUAUAUGUAAAGUCCAGGGUUCGAAUCUCGACCACCACCAAAAAAAGCGAUUAAAUGACAGCGUUAAUGUUAAUAUGAUGAUGUAUAAAGAACAUAUGCCUUGCACCAUAUACAAAGUUAUUUCAAUCAUUUGAUCAAUAAAUCUCAUUAUUUAAUUAAAUGAAAUAUGAUGAGAUUUAACGAUACAAUGGUGGAAAAUAAGUUUGUGCGUGGUACAAAACUAAUUUGCGUGUGCACAUUAGACAAAACCAUGUAUAUCUCUAUCUAACAGAUUCUCUGAAUCUUUCUUGAUAGUUUCUCAUAUAGUUUUUCUAGACAUUCAUUUACCUCUGGUGAUUUGACUAUCCUUCCUUAUUACAACACUCUCUACUAAACCAAUCAAAGCCGAGUUUUCACCAUAUUUUCUACUAUAGUCUUACCACAUUUUUAACACAACAUUCUCAUCUCUACUAAACCAAUUUUAUUCUUUUAUUCACUCUUUACCAUCCAACACUCUCUGCUGCUACUACAUCUUUGGUCUUAUUGUUGUACAAUAAAAAAUUCCUUUAUCUUGAAAAAUACUUUUGUAUUUUAUAAAACACACAAGAUCCUCUCCAUUUAAGACGCUCCACUUGAAGCCGAUUGUUUGCAUAUUCUACUUCUCUAUCAUUUUAGACUUUGUAUCAUUCAUAUAUAUAUGGUGUAACUCGUGGAAUGAUACGAUCUCUAACAUUUACUUGUACAUAGAAAUGUUCCACCUUUUGCUAAAAUCACAUUCCAUAUACUACGUAUAGCUUUCACUUAUGUAAAAGUCAUAAGUUUAUGGCUUGCUUCCAAGUCUCUAGCUUCCAAUUUAAUUCCUCAUCCGACUCUCAAAGUAUGACUAUAUCAUCUUUAAAAACAUGCAUCCUGGUGCCGACUCUUGAAUGUGAUUCGUAGGUACGCCUAAAAGUAAAGUAAAAAUAUAAGGACUUCAACUAGACCCUUGGUGAGUCCUAUAGUUAUGGAAAAAUAUUUUGUCCCCACCCUGAGUCCUUACACUAGUCGUGACCCCUUUGUACAUCUUUAUUUUCUAUGACUUUAUAUGCAAUAUCUUUUUGUACUAUAUCACACAUCAUCUACAAAUAAAUUACAACUAAGUGUAUGUCUUUUUGAUCCCUCAUAUGCCACAAUAAGUAAAACGCUUCCAUGUUGACCUCCAAGAUAUAAAAUCAAAUUGAUUAUCAUUAUCUUUACUCUUUUUUCUUAGGUUUUGCUCAAGCAUUCUUUCUCAUAACUUCAUAGCAUGACUCAUAAGUUUAAUCCUCCUAUAAUUUGUACAAUUUUAUAUAUCUUAAGUGUUCUUAUAAAUCGAAAUUAAAGUGUUUCUUUUCUAAUCAUCUGAGAUUUUCUUUGAUCUCUUAAUCUCGUUAAAACUUUGAGAGGCAUCCAAUGUCUCUAUGUCUAAGAGUUUUUCAUACCUUAAUAGGUACGUUGUCCGACUCAAUUGGUUUGUCAAUAUUCAUACUUUUUAGUGCUUCUUUUAUCUCUUGUUAUUGAAUUUGAAGAUAAAAGGUAUAACUCCUGACUCGAUUAUAAGAAGAAAAAGAAAUACUCAUAUUUGUCCGACUCAAACAUAAGCAAGAGUCAACUAAUUUUUUUUUUACUUUUUAAAUAUCUUUACAUUAAUUUUUUAAUGUUGUGAAAAGAUCAUCAUUAAUUAUGCAUAGUUUUUUGGGGAAUGGAUCCUCUGCACUGACCGCAGGGUUCAGUUAAAUCUGAGCCUUUGAACAAAAAUAAAUGCUUGGAAAUAUAAAUGUUAAAAUUUGAAAUUAGGAGAAAUAAUGAAUUUAAUGGUGUAGUUACAUGAAAACAAAAAAAAUUAAAUGGCCUUUAACUACUAUUUUCUAGUCAAUUAACCUAGUGAUUAAUGGUGAAUAAAUGAAGUGGUGAGGUUCAAACUACAACACCUGUUUUGAUGUAAUGUCCUUUUCAAUUGAGUUAAACUCAUUGAUACAUAUCAUCCUUAAUAUGCAUGAAAGUAAGUAAUUUUGCAUAUUAUUGAGUUUAAUGGGAGUAUAAUUUUGGCCAUCAUCUCUAAUGUCUAGUAUUUUAGAGUCUUUAUGUUAGAGUCCGAUUGAAUCUAAUAACAUUCAUUGGAAAUAAUCAUUCCAUCUAUCCUAAAAUUUUGAAUUCUGCUCUUUACCCAACAGUUUUUUCUCAUUCUCAACUGAAAAGACAAUUUUACACCUACGUAAGUUAACUGAUGUUAGUUCAAAAUUCUGCGUGACUUAAGUCAUGCCGCGUGAAUUAAGUCACGCUAGUGUUAAUAUCAACGUGAGUUAACUCACGCUAGUUCAAAAUCCUGCGUGACUUAAAUCACUAUGCGUUAAUGUUAAUCUAAGCGUGGGUUAACUCACGCAACUUUUGUGCUCGUACCAGAACAAUCAGGAGUGCCUUGUUCCCUGUUUUCCCAAGUUCCUUAACCAAAACUCACAAUUUAAAGAACAUUCAUUCAACAAUUCAUUAAAUCAUGCAUUCAUUCAUUCAUAAUUAAGAUAUGCAAUAUUAACCAAAUCAAACAAUUUCAAAUACUUAAAACUACCAAAUUUCACUCCAAACAACUUCUAAAAUACAAUUCCUAACUUAAUUCAUCACUAACAAUCAUAAAAACUAACAUGCAAGACAAAUUUAUAAAAACUUAAAAAUGUUAAAUUUCUUAAAAAAAAGGCUUAAAUAUGUAAAUCGUCCCUGUAAUUUGGUGUGUUUUUGGUUUUCGUCCCUGUAUCUUUUUUUGUUCUAAAACAACCCCUAUAAGUUAAUAACUUUUUUAUUUUCGUCCCUCUCGUCAACUUCCGUUACAAAAACGCACAUGUGGCAAACGGAGGAUGACGUGGUAGUGUCUGACGUGGCAAACUUAUUGAUGAGUCACACAGUAAAAAGGACGAAAAUCAAAAAACGAAAUUUGUCGAAGGACCAAAGUCAAAAAAACAAAAUUCGUAAAGGGACCAAAACAAAAACCAAAACCAAAAAACGAAAUUUGUAGAGGGACCAAAACCAAAAAACGAGAAGACGAAAAAUUCAAAUUUAAUUACAUUUCUUCAUCUUCUUCCCACAUCUUCUUCUUCAUUACUAUCAUUGUCUUCAUAAACUUCAUCAUCAUUAUCAAACAAACACGUAAAUUCAUCACUUCAAAAUCCUAAAAUCCAUCAACUCAAAACAACAACAAACUCAAUCUAACACCUUCAAUUAUACCUUCAUGUGAUAACUUCUCUUUUAUUUCUUCUCACAAACAACAAAAUCAAAUUAAACCAAUAUACCCACUGUUCAAUGUGCAAUCCAAUUUCACACACUUUAAAAUCGUUUAAAAUAAAACUUAUCUCAAUUCAACAUUCCAACAUAUUUUUCAAUUCUAUUUAUUAUCCCUGUAGAUCUUCAAAUGAAAAGAAUAUUCAUAUCAAACUUGAACCUUUUUCUUAUAAUUCAAUUUCACACAACAAUCUUUCAAAUAAACUGGAAAAAAAGAACACGACCCAAAUGUUCGAAACAAAAAUGAUGAGAUUAGAGUUCAAAGAAUUGACGAAGAAAGCAUUUGGAGUGACCAAGAAACAUUAGAGAUGCGAGAUCAAUGAUGAGACGAGAGUUGGUAAUGAAAAAAAAAUCAUUCUUUAGGUUUUUCAAUUUGAGAAUUUUGUGAAUUUUUUCAAUAUUGGGAAUUCGAGCAUUCACAAUGAGGAUUUUGUUGUUAUAAUUUGAUUUUGAUAUUAACAAUAAAAGUUUAUUUGAGACUAUGAACAUUGUGAAUUUUAGUGUUGAGAUGUCAAUCUGACCAUUGUCAAUGGAGAUUUUGUUUGGGUUUGUGAGAAGUUGUCUAUUGAGAAUGAGAUGAUGAUUUUGAGGUUUUUUUUUUUUUUUAUUUUUUUUUUUUUAUCUCUUUUAUGAGUAUUUUUUCCUGGGCUUUUUGAUGAAUUUAUGAAGACAAUGAUGAAGAUGUAAAAGAGGUGGAAGGAAGAAGAUGAAGAAAGCUAUUUUUUUCUCGCUUUUUGGUUUUGGUCCCUUUACGAAUUUCGUUUUUUUGACUUUGGUCCCUCUACAAAUUUUGUUUUUUUUUUGUUUUGGUCCCUCUCACUGGGUGACUCAUCAAUAAGUUUGCCACGUCAGCAUCGUCUGCCACGUCAGGCACUGUCACGUCAUCCUCCGUUUGCCACAUGUGCGUUUUUGUAACGGAAGUUGACGGGAGUGACGAAAAUCAAAAAGUUAUUAACUUACAGGGGUUGUUUUAGAACAAAAAAAGAUACAGGGACAAAAACCAAAAACAAGCCAAAUUACAGGGACGAUUUACAUAUUUAAGCUACAAAAAAAAAAACUAAUUUUUCAACCAAAAAAAUGCAAUGAAGUAGUUUAAUAAUCACUUACUUGAUAUGUGGGAGAAAUUGGCUUUGAAUGGCGCAAGAAUGAUGAAAUUCGGAUUUGGGGGCAAAAAAUUCAAAGUUGGGAAGUUUAGGAAAUAAGGGAACUGAGUUUUCGUUUUGCUGAUAAAUGACUUAAGUCAUGUAGCGCGAGUUAACUCACGCAGCCUGACUUAAGUCACACAAAGGACACAACUAGCGUGAGUUAACUCACGCAGGUGCAAUUUCGGAAUUUCAGUUGGGGGCGGGCAAUUUCUGUUGGGUAAAGAGCAGAAUUCUAACAUUUUUUACGUGAACCCUUCUUCAUCUUUCAUAUACUUCACUUGGUGCAAAUCUCUCGUCUUUCUUUCCCUCCCUUUAGCAAGCAUAUAUACUUAUAGAAUUUCCUCCCUUCUUAAUACUCAGGCUUUGUUUGGAUGGUAAAGGAAAGUUUAAGGAAAGAAAGUGAAAGUUAGGAAUGAUUGUUAUAGGAAAGAAAGUGAAAAGAAAGUGAGUGGAAAAUCUAAUGAUUUUUUAGUUGUUUGGUAUGAGUGAUAGUGAAAGGAAUGAAAGAUUUAUAUUUAAUAAAAUGACUAAAAUAUCCCUAUAAAAAGGUGAUAUGUAUAUAAUUUAAAAUUAUAAUUUUAUUAAUAGUUAAAAACUACAUAACCGUACAAUUUUUAUUUUGAUAGAACACAACCAUAAGAAUUUACUUUCAUUACUUAUAUUUUAAUUUUAAUUUAAUAUAUUUUAAUUUAAUGUCACAUUGAAAAGCAAUUGCCUUCGUGGGCUUUUAUAUAAUUUUGCUCAAAAUAGUGCAAUCACCAUACUUUCUAUUCUCAACAGGGCAUAAACAUUUUUGGUGUGGGACCCAUCGAUAAAUACCUUUCCUCCCCCUUUUUAUGGUGGUUCCAAACUAAGGAAAGAAUGUUAAUCCUACUACUUUCUAUCCUUCCUCAAUCUUUCCUUCUACUUUCACCCAAAACAAACAGGCCCUUAAGGAUUGGUAUGACCUUCACAAACUUUAGAACAUUCUAUUCUCAUUUUAAUUAACUUUAUUAUGCACCCAUUCAUUCCAUCACCACCAAAAUUCUUUACCCCUACGUCCAUAACCUCUUUGAUUCUCGCAACGUCUCUUCUGCUACUUUAUUAAUCCCUCGUGCCAUCUUGUCUCAUAUAUCAUUUCCACUUCACCGUGACCAUCUGAAACAUCCUUCUAAAACCUUGUGUGGGAAGAUAAUUUAUUUUUCAGUACUCAAAUACCACUUGGUAUAAAAUGAAUAACUUUCAUUUUGGUGAAUCAAAUUUUGGUUUUCACGUGAACUUUGUUUAGAUGCUUUAGAUGUUGGGUGAUAUUAAUUACUUACUGCUUGAUGGAAAUUGUCAAAUUCUUCAUAACUUUUUUUUGACAAUGCACAUUUGGAAUCCAUACCAAAGAUGUAAAAGCUCAGAUUAUGAUAUUUUAGUUUAUUUCAUGAAUACAUUCGGAAUCCAUAAUAAAACAGUUUUAAGGAGUUUCAAACUUCAAAGGUAUCAAUAUAACAAUACAAACAAAAUUGGAAUAGCACUUAAGCUGCCACGUUAUUGUACUCUCUUUCAACAGCUUUUUUGAGGAUGCUGUCUUUUUCCAAGACCAUUUGAAUUGGCAUGAAACCCAUCCCAUCUGCCAUUGCAAGCAUCAUCUGCUUAGUUUCUUUCUUGAAUUCUUCCAAAUCAAUUGUGCCAUUCAAGUUGUGAUCGAACUGUGUGAACAAAGAUUCAUAAACACGAGCAAGCUCAUUUGGGUCUGAAACCACAUCAAUACCAAAGUGUGUUUCAAAAACCCUCAAGCUCCGGAGCUCCUUCAACAUCUCUUCAUAGGAGAGAAGACCGUCGUUGUUUGUGUCGAGGCGAGCGAACCGAUUUCCUACCGAGCUAUUAAAUGCUUCUUCAUCUUCAAGGAAGUGGACAAUUGUGGCACCAUCCAAAAUUUCUACACUCAUCUUUCUUUUCUACUUGAUGUAAAAAAUGGAAGGUAGUUUGUAUUGACAAAUAUAGUUUUGUGUUUGCAAAUGCUUGUGAUUUGAUGAGAAGAGUUGGAUCCUUCCAUGUAUAUAUAACCAUUAACAAUUGUUUCCAGAAGAAUAUAUUCUUUAACUACUAACAUGGUAUAGAAACCAUGUGCUUUUUGUGUACCUUGCAUCUAUUAGUUUAUUUUAUUGUCCAACCGUUAAAAUUGGAUGCUUUCUUCAACUGUUGGCUCUUGAUUGUUGAAAUUGUUCCUUGUCAGUAAUCCACGGAUAUACCAAAGAUAUGAUUAUAUGAAUAUAUUAUAUAUAGCACUUACAUUCUGCAUGUCACGUUGAGCUUAGCUCAGUUGGUAGGGACCUAUGAAGUACGAAUAUGGACACGAACAUCGGACCCGACACAGACACACCGACACAACUAAUAAUUUGAAAAAAUAACAUAAUUCAGUGUAGUUACAAGUGCCGGUGUCGGACACGACACAUGUCCGACACCGAGACACGCCUAAUCCAAUUUGUGUUUCAUAGGUAGGGACAAUGUUAAAUAUAUAUAGACUGUAGUUCAAACAACCAAUACUUCAUUUAUUAAUCUCCGAUAAGUAUUUGUGCUUCAUAGGUAGGACAAUGUAUAAUAUAUAUAUAUAUACUGUAGUUCAAACAACCAAUACUUCAUUUAUUAAUCUCAAAUAGGUAAAUUUUUAGUCACUAGAUUAAUUGAUGAAUUUUUUUUUUUUACAUUCUAUCUAAUUGGUGAAAGAUUAAUCUAGUAACUUUAAGGUAUUUAGUUCAAAUUCACUGGAGGAUUAUUGUAAAAUGAUAAUUAGCGUUACUAUAAUUAAUAAAAUAUUUUCUUCUAUUAAAAUAUAUUAUUUGCAUAAUAAUGAAACUUCACGUCGUGAAGUCAGCGUUGGAAAACUAAUUCCCUCGUUUUAGUGUAUGUAUGCAUGUCAAAUGUCAAACGAGUAAAGUAGGUAUGAAAUAAUUUAUUGGACGUGGUGGUUUGUUGAAUGUCUUAAACAAUGGGUACCCAUUGAUUAUUUUAAUAUUAUUCAAAGAACUAAAAUUAUUAUGCUUUACAAAGGAUCUUCUUGGUUUAUUCUUCUUAUUUUUCCUUUCUUGUCGAAACAUUUUGCCCCGUGAUCAGUAGUAAAUUACGAUAAUAUAAAACAUGCUUUUGGAUGGAACCAAAACAUUCGACUAAGCAGUGUCAGUGAUCAUAUAACAUCAUAGUGUUAAGUAUAUGAUGUAUAAAGAACAUAUGACUUGCACCAUCACAAAGUAGUUUAUAUCGUUUGAUCAAUAAAUCUCACUAUUUAAUUAAAUGAAAUAUGAUGAAAUAUGAUGAAAUUUAAUGAUCUAAUGGUGAAAAAUAAGUUUGUGUAUGGUACAAUUCUAAUUUGCUUUUGUACAUUAGACAAAAUCAUGCAUAUCAAUCUAUCAAAUUUUCUAGAUCUUUUUUAAUAAUUUUUGAUAUAGUUUUUCUAAACAUUCAUUUACCUCUAGUGAUUUGAGUGUCCUUCCUUACUAGAAAAAUCUGAAGGUUUUCUUUCCACAUGCCCAAACCACCAGAGCCGAGUUUUCACCAUAUUUUCUAUAAUAGUCUUAAUAGUCUUACAACACUUUUAACUCAACAUUUUCAUCUCUGCUACACCUAUUUUAUUCCGGUGUUGGUUCUUUACUAUCUAACACUCUAUUGCAUACUACAUCUUUUGCCUUAUUGUUGUACAAUUAACAAUUUCCUUUAUCAUGAAAGGUACUUUUGUAUUUCAUAAAACACAUGACACCUUCAUCCAUUUAAGACACCCAUCUUGAAACUGAUUGUUUACAUAUUCUACUUCUAUGUCAUUUUGGACUAUGGAUCAAACAUAUAUAAAUUGAGCAAUGACAUUUGCACAUCUAUUUAAUGAUAACUUUGAUGACAAUUAUGUUUUUCUCUCUUCUUAUUUGGUAAAAAACAAUAUAUAUAUAUAUAUAUAUAUAUAUAUAUAUAUAUAUAUAGAGAGAGAGAGAGAUGAUAAGAACAUCAUGUAAGUAUGAGAGAACAUCAUGGUUGUAUAAAUUGUGUACCUUGCGGUAUGAUAUGUGAUGUGUGAAAUCCGCAAGUGCACGGUUCUAUUGAAGUAGUAAAAAUAUCGUUCCAUAGGGAGUUGUUGUAAUUACUGAUUUACUUUCUAAUUAAGAUUAGCUAAAAAGAAUAAAGUUUAAAAGUUUGACUGAUUAACGGUAUAAAAUUCAGAAUUAAAAACGGCUCGGGAUUAUUGGUUCGUCGUGGACAAACAACUUUCAAUCCAAACCUAUACCUUCCUCUUAUAUUAGAUUUAUUUUCUAAAUACAGAUUUCUCUAAGGUAUUUCAUAUCUCCGUUCGGUCUCCAUGAAUGUGCCUCAAUAACAACCACACAUAUUCUCAUGGUUGAUUACUAUUGAAACCCUUUAAGAACGAAACCUAUGGCCUCAAGACUUCAUAAAACUAUUCAUCUGGGGUGUUCCCAUCGAGUUUUAUGUUGUCGUGUCUAAUCACAUUUAUUUUGGGUUUGAGUUUGGUUUUACCGGAGACCCAUUUAUUUUUAUGGGUUUUCCAUUUUUAGAAACCAUACCCACCCAAUUACCUAACCCAACCCAUUUUUUGGAGUUUUUUAGGUGGGUUUGACCGGAUUUUCUUGGUUGGCCCCUAUAAACAUCCUUAGGUACACUCUUACGUAAUCAGAGACUUUGGGUAUAUAUAUGAAGUGAUCAAUGAAUUUACGGUAAAAACUUCAACUAUUUUCGGAAGUACAAUACAAUCUCAAAAUAUUUUUUUGUUAUUUCUUGUAGACGUUUGGAAUUCAUAACAAAAAAAACCAGUGGUAAUUAUAAUAAUAACAAACAAAAUGUUAAAAAUACUAGAAUACUUGGUUAAAUCUCAAAAUAGUAUUUACGCUGCCACUUUAUUAGAGUCAAUUUCAACAGCUUUUUUGAGGAUGCUGUCUUCUUCCAAGACCAUUUGAAUUGGCAUGAAACCCAUCCCAUCUGCCAUUGCAAGCAUCAUCUGCUUAGUUUCCUUCUUGAAUUCUUCCAAAUCAAUUGUGCCAUUCAAGUUGUGAUCGAAUUGUAUGAACAAAGAUUCAUAAACACGAGCAAGCUCAUUUGGGUCUGAAUCCACAUCAAUACCAAAGUGUGUUUCAAAAAUCCUCAAGCUCCGGAGCUCCUUCAACAUCUCUUCAUAGGAGAGAAGACCGUCGUUGUUUGUGUCGAGGCGAGCGAACCGAUUUCCUACCGAGCUAUUAAAUGCUUCUUCAUCUUCAAGGAAGUGGACAAUUGUGGCACCAUCCAAAAUUUCCACACUCAUUUUUCUCUUCAACUUGAUGUAAAAAAUAGUUUGUAUAGACAAAUAUAGUUUUGUGUUUGCAAAUGUUGUGAUUUGAUAAGAAGAGUUGGAUCCUUCCAUGUAUAUAUAGACAUUAACAAUUGCUUCCAGAAGAAUAUAUUCUUUAACUACUAGCAUGGUAUAGAAACCAUGUGCUUUUUGUGUCUCUUGCAUCUAGUAGUUUAAAUGUGUUAAUUUUUUUUUUUUUGAGAGAAAUGUGUUAAAUUAUUUAUUGGACGCCUAAUGCCCCCGUUUUAGUAUAUGCAUGUCAAACGAGUAAAGUAGGUUAGGAUUAAUUUAUUGGACGUGGUGUUUUGUUGAAUGUCUUAAACAAAGGGUAGGGUACCCAUUGAUUAUUUUAGUUAUUAUUCAAAGAACAAGAUUAUUAUGCUUUACAAAGAUUUUCUUUGUUUAUUCCUUUUUUGUUCUUGUUUUACAACAUUUUGUCCCAUGUUUAGUAGGAAGUUACAUAAUAUAAAGCAUGCUUUUCAAAUAAUCCCAUUAUAAUUUAAAUUUUAUUAGAAAACAAGUAAAAGAUUUUUUUUGUUGGUGGCCGGGGUUUGAACCUCGGACUUUGUAUAUAUUAUGCAUUGUCCUUACCAACAGAACUAAGCUCACGAGGACAACUAGUAAAAGAUUUGUGUAUUCAUAUGGGUCGCAUAACAUUGGGAUAAUUUUAUAAAAAAUAAUUACAUAUAUAAUAUUGUGAAAUGUUUAAAAAUAUUAAAUAAAAAUUAUUAGUAUUGAUAUGAGAAAGUCGAUUGGAUAAAAUUUUGAAAACUCAUGACUAUUUUCAAAAUAUCAACAUUAAUAUAAUGUUUCUCUUAAAUAUAUUUUUAUUUAGGAUCUUAUUAACGAGUGCCUCAGGACAUUAUUUAAGUAUACUAAAUUAAGUAAUUAUUCUUUAAAAAUGUCAAAGUUUUCAUUUUUCAAUGCACUGAUUACACAAACUUUCAUAAAAAGUUACCAUUUAAGGUCCUUAACUAAUGCCCCGGAGGCACUAGUUAAAUAUUCGUAUCGCACCGUUAAAUAUUUGCACCAUACUCGUUACGGAUUUGAUGUGUUUAAAUACGGGGAUGCAAUUUUUUAUGUACCCACAUAAUAAUAUUUUGAACAGUCGCAACUAUUUUUAAAAUGAGUUAUGAUACAUAAACACCCUGUAGGUGGCAAUACACCCUUUGACACCCACACAAAAAUCUGACAUGUAGUCAUAUGGACCCCGCACAAGUACACUUUCUCUUUCUUCUUCUCUUCUCUCUUCCUAAUACAUGGGGUGUACAAGGGUGUAUGCAAUUAAAAGGCGUCUAUGUAACAUUUUCCUUUUAAAAUAUGAACAUUAAUAGUGUUCUGAUUAGAUAUUUGUCUAUUUGAUAUGUAAAACACCGAAAAAUAUUUGUAUCGCACUCGCUGUGUAUUUUAUGUGCUUGUAUGUGUGAAAAAUUAAUCUAUUGAAUAUUUUUAUAUAUAUUUGCUUUUUAAUCCGAAUGGGAUGAAAAUUAGAAAGAAAGUUCAAAAAUCCCUUUUAAAAGUUAGAGUACAAAAAUGGGUUAAAAUUAAAGGGUUAAUUAAGUUUUUAGUCUCUAUAAAUAUUCACAAUUUUGUUUUUCGUCCUUAUAAAAUAAAAUCACACUUUUUAGUCCCUAUAAAAUUUUCCAUCAACAUUUUUAGUCCCUAUAAAAUUUUCCAUCAGCACUUUUAGUCCUUGUAAAAAAAUUUCAUCAGCAGUUUUGGUCCCUAAAAUGCUUAAGGAAAAUGUCAAAGGGACUAAAAAGUGUGAUUUUAUUUUGUAGGGACUAAAAAAAAAACCAUGAAUAUUUAUAGGGACUAAAAACUUAAUUAACCCAAAAUUAAAUAACUUGAGCAGAAUUGUUUUUUUGGUGUGUGCUAAAGUUUCAAUCAGUCAAAAAUGGAGAGGUUAAAUUAUGAGUUUAUGACCCUUUUUUAUUCUCCACUUAAAUACGACUUAUUAUCUAUGAAACACGACACAUAUAAUUACACUGAAUUAUAAGAUUUUCUUAAAUUAUUAAUGCGUCGGUGUGUUAUUGUCUUGUGUCGUGUCCGUAUUUGUGUUUAAUGGCUUAUUAUAAAACGCAUAAUUUUCUUUUUGGUGAAAUCAAAAUUUAGUUCAAGUGAAUUUUAUUUUGAUGCUUUAGAUGUUGGAUGACAGUGUUGGAAAUUGAGUGACUGAAAUGUGUGCAGACCAUGUUAAAUUCUCUAGUGCCACACUCUUACCUAAUCGAGACUUUUGGUAUAAUAUGAAGUGAUCAAUGAAUUUACGGUAAAAACUUUAACUAUUUUCAGAAGUACAAUACAAUCACUUUUCUGCUACAAAUGUAAAAACUCAUGUAGUUUAUUUCUUGUAGACAUUUGGAAUUCAUAACAAAAAAACCAAUGUGUUUCAAAAACCCUCAAGCUCCUGACAGGCUCGGUUUUGAGGGGGAGCAAACAGCUCAACAGAGGGGCCAGUCAUGGGCCUCGAUUUUUUUUUUAAUACCCAUUAGUACUAAUGCCCUCUAAUUUUUUUUAAUACCCCCAACCAUUUGUUGUCCCCUUGUUUUAGCCUUUUAGGCCUAUUAGAAUUAGGUCCUCUUGCUUUUGGUGUUAAGUGGAGGGGUUCCUCAUAUAUACGGUAAUCAUUUUCACAUUUGGGUGUACCACAUAUAUACGGCACAUUAUAUUUAUUUUUUAAAAAAUAUAAAUAGAACAUUACUCUUUUAAAAAAAAUACGUUUUCAUUUUAUCAUUGGCCUCUUUUCAUUUCCAGAGCCGAGCCUCCAAAUUCUUAGGGACGGCCCCGGCUCCUGAGCUCCUUCAACAUCUCAUCAUAAGAGAGCAGACCAUCCUUAUUUGUGUCGAGCCGAGCAAACUGAUUUCCUACUGAGCUAUUAAACGCUUCUUCAUCUUCAAGGAAGUGGACAAUUGUGGCACCAUCCAAAAUUUCUACACUCAUCUUUCUCAUCCAAAAUUUCUACUGAGCGAACCGAUGUUAAAUGGAAGGUUGUUUGUAAAGAUAGUUUUGUGUUUGCAAAUGCUAUUGCUUUGAUGAGAAGAGUUGGAUCCUUA